AGCGUAGAUGGAUGUUUAAGUCAGUUGUGAAAGUUUGCGGCUCAACCGUAAAAUUAGCAGUUGAUACUGGAUAUCUUGAGUGCAGUUGAGGCAGGCGGAAUUCGUGGUGUAGCGGUGAAAUGCUUAGAUAUCACGAAGAACUCCGAUUGCGAAGGCAGCCUGCUAAGCUGCAACUGACAUUGAGGCUCGAAAGUGUGGGUAUCAAACA
rnacentral:rRNA from 1 species